GUGAGGGCCAGUGUCCUGAAGGAGGUCACUCUGUAGCUCCAGGCUCUGACACAGCAGAGCUGAAAGCCAGCAGUAAUGUUACUGCCGCAGUCCAUAGGUUCAGAGCCCUUAACGAACCAAAGGUGCUGCUGGUGCUGAUGGUAAUGAUGACGGUGAUAAUGACGGUGACAGUGGUGACCUGCUAUCCUCUCUGAAGCUGCUCACCCAACCAGUGAGGGGCUGGAGUUGGGUAUCAGCCAGACCUUCCUCACAUGACAUGUACAGAAGGCAAAUCCUCUCUGGUAGUCCAGCAGCCUCUAUCCAGGUAUGCCAGAGAGCCAGAAGUCCAGUACACAAGAAGGAAGCCCUGGUCCCUGGGCAGCAGAUUGCCAGGAGCCCAGAGCAAGAAUGAAGGACAGAUCUCAAGAAACAUCUACUGUUCACUGCAACGUUCCACAUGAAAAUGCGAUGAGGGAAGGCAACACAAAUGUCAUGGACCAUGAAAUGGGCACGGCCAUGUGACAUAGCCACAAAAUAGGAUAGUACCGAGCCAUAAGGCCAAAAAUCAUGGCGUGUGCAUGCUCUUAAGAUGGCUGGACACCAUGGACAUUGUGCUUAGUGAGACCAACCAACCAACCACCAAGGGACAAACAGCCUUUGAUUCUCCACAGAGUAUCUAGAGCGGGUCAAUUCAGAGACAGAGAGUAAACGAACCAGCAAGGCUAGCAAGAGGGAACAGGGCGCUCCUAUUUGGUGGCUGAGGCUCUUGGCUGGGCCUCAGUGGGAACAAAAUGAAUGCCACAGAGCCACGCACCCUUAGAGGUAGUUAGGACUUAACUUUGAUACUGUGUUGCCCCUGGUUCUUACAAAAUGUCUCAGAGCCUGACACCCUUAGGAGUCAGGACUUAACUUUGAUACUGUGUUGCCCCUGGUUCUUACAAAAUAUCUCCGGGAAGAUGGUUAGCUGGGCCUAGUGGAGGCUCAAGGCCUCUAACUCCCUGUCUACUCCACACUCCUGAGACCUUUUCGGUUAGGCGCCUCUCCCCUACAUCACAUUGGUCUCUUGCCGCCAUUUCCCAGGGCACUUCUCCUUAGCGCAGGCAAAGGCCCCCACACCCUAACCUCCAUGAAAAGCUCUCUGGAUUUUGACACAGUGAAACCCUUCAAAAGAGAAGAGAAGCUUCUAGUGACUGCUAAUGCAGGAAAAGUCUAGUACAACAGUCUGUCAAGUAUUCCUUGGCCCUUUCUGAGCUCGGAAUCCAGGACAAGCCAUCUCAUUGAGAUCCACGUUUCCUGACCUCUAGGCUGAGUCUGCUCACACUAUCCGUACCUUCCAGGAGCCUGCCAGUUUAGGGACGAACUGGACAUCAUUCCGAAGGCCCAUCCCUCUAUUUAGGAUUCUUAAGCUUCCCUCUCCAAGUGUGAGGAACACAUACAACAAACCAGCUCUUUAUUUUAAACUGUGUGUGUGUGGAUGGGGAGAGGUAUGCAGCUCAGGUACCUCUUGAGCUCACUACAUAGCUAAGGAUGUCCUUGAACUCCUGAUUCUGCUGCACCCACCCCUGAUGUGACACAAUGCCUGUUUUAAGAGAUGCUGAAGAUGGAAUCCCUACAAGUCCAUGCAGAGCUAGGUGAGUACUCUGUCACCGAGCCCAUAAUCCCUAGACCUUCAUUUUCUCAACUUUUUCAAUGCCAAGUUCAGUGGCAUUAAGCACACACUAACCCGACUGUGUAACCAUCACUGUCCGUUAAGAGAAUUAUUUCACCUUCUGAAACGAGCAUCUUGUUGCCAUGGCUGCAUCUGUUGCCAUGUGGUGCUGCCUUGGUCCUUCCGUGGCCACCAAUGCCCGUGUAAAACCCAAUGAAGUUAUCAUAGCACGCCAUAAGGGUGGUCACCAACCGAAAGCCACUAGCAAGUGUCGGCAAAGCUGUGGAGCAGCUGGGGACAGCUGACAGGGAUGACAAACAGUGGUGGUCUCACAAAGACAGGUAAUGGAGAUACUGUGUAACCCCCACAAUCCCCUCCAGUUAUAUAAAUGAAAACAGGAACUCAGA